CUGGCGGCGUGCUUAACACAUGCAAGUCGAACGGAAAGGCCCUGCUUUUGUGGGGUGCUCGAGUGGCGAACGGGUGAGUAACACGUGAGUAACCUGCCCUUGACUUUGGGAUAACUUCAGGAAACUGGGGCUAAUACCGGAUAGGAGCUCCUGCUGCAUGGUGGGGGUUGGAAAGUUUCGGCGGUUGGGGAUGGACUCGCGGCUUAUCAGCUUGUUGGUGGGGUAGUGGCUUACCAAGGCUUUGACGGGUAGCCGGCCUGAGAGGGUGACCGGCCACAUUGGGACUGAGAUACGGCCCAGACUCCUACGGGAGGCAGCAGUGGGGAAUAUUGCACAAUGGGCGGAAGCCUGAUGCAGCAACGCCGCGUGCGGGAUGACGGCCUUCGGGUUGUAAACCGCUUUCGCCUGUGACGAAGCGUGAGUGACGGUAAUGGGUAAAGAAGCACCGGCUAACUACGUGCCAGCAGCCGCGGUGAUACGUAGGGUGCGAGCGUUGUCCGGAUUUAUUGGGCGUAAAGGGCUCGUAGGUGGUUGAUCGCGUCGGAAGUGUAAUCUUGGGGCUUAACCCUGAGCGUGCUUUCGAUACGGGUUGACUUGAGGAAGGUAGGGGAGAAUGGAAUUCCUGGUGGAGCGGUGGAAUGCGCAGAUAUCAGGAGGAACACCAGUGGCGAAGGCGGUUCUCUGGGCCUUUCCUGACGCUGAGGAGCGAAAGCGUGGGGAGCGAACAGGCUUAGAUACCCUGGUAGUCCACGCUGUAAACGGUGGGUACUAGGUGUGGGGUCCAUUUCCACGGGUUCCGUGGCCGUAACUAACGCUUUAAGUACCCCCCGCCUGGGGAGUACGGUCGCAAGGCUAAAACUCAAAGGAAUUGACGGGGCUCCGCACAAGCGGUGGAGCAUGCGGAUUAAUUCGAUGCAACGCGUAGAACCUUACCUGGGUGUGACAUGGAUCGGGAGUGCUCAGAGAUGGGUGUGCCUCUUUUGGGGUCGGUUCACAGGUGGUGCAUGGCUGUGGUCAGCUCGUGUCGUGAGAUGUUGGGUUAAGUUCCGCAACGAGCGCAACCUUUGUUCACUGUUGCCAGCACGGUAUGGUGGGGACUCAGUGGAGACCGCCGGGGUCAACUCGGAGGAAGGUGGGGAUGACGUCAAGUCAUCAUCCCCCUUAUGUCCAGGGCUUCAUGCAUGCUACAAUGUCUGGUACAGAGAGCGGCGAGCCUGUGAGGGUGAGCGAAUCUCGGAAAGCCGGUCUCAGUUCGGAUUGGGGUCUGCAACUCGACCUCAGGAAGUUGGAGUCGCUAGUAAUUGCAGAUCAGCAACGGUGCGGUGAAUACGUUCCCGGGGGUUGUACACACCGCCCGUCAAGUCAUGAAAGUUGGUAACACCCGAAGCCGGUGGCCUAACCGUUGUGGGGGAGCCGUCGAAGGUGGGAC
rnacentral:rRNA from 1 species